GCCUGAUGCAGCAACGCCGCGUGAGGGAUGACGGCCUUCGGGUUGUAAACCUCUUUUAGCAAGGAAGAAGCGAAAGUGACGGUACUUGCAGAAAAAGCGCCGGCUAACUACGUGCCAGCAGCCGCGGUAAUACGUAGGGCGCAAGCGUUAUCCGGAAUUAUUGGGCGUAAAGAGCUCGUAGGCGGUUUGUCGCGUCUGCUGUGAAAACUGGAGGCUCAACCUCCAGCCUGCAGUGGGUACGGGCAGACUAGAGUGCGGUAGGGGAGAUUGGAAUUCCUGGUGUAGCGGUGGAAUGCGCAGAUAUCAGGAGGAACACCGAUGGCGAAGGCAGAUCUCUGGGCCGUAACUGACGCUGAGGAGCGAAAGGGUGGGGAGCAAACAGGCUUAGAUACCCUGGUAGUCCACCCCGUAAACGUUGGGAACUAGUUGUGGGGACCAUUCCACGGUUUCCGUGACGCAGCUAACGCAUUAAGUUCCCCGCCUGGGGAGUACGGCCGCAAGGCUAAAACUCAAAGGAAUUGACGGGGACCCGCACAAGCGGCGGAGCAUGCGGAUUAAUUCGAUGCAACGCGAAGAACCUUACCAAGGCUUGACAUAUACGAGAACGCUGCAGAAAUGUAGAACUCUUUGGA
rnacentral:rRNA from 1 species